GUUCACUGCCGCACAGGCAGCAUAAAAA
rnacentral:other from 1 species